CGGGAAGGUUACAGACAAAUGGAGGAGCUUCAUGAAGAGCCAAAUUAAGAGGGCGAGGAGCUUCUUCAAAGAAGCCGAGGGCGGCGUUACCGAGCUCAAUCAGGCUAGUAGAUGGCCGGUGAUGGCAUCUCUUUUAUUGUAUAGUCAGAUUCUUGAUGAAAUCGAAGCAAACGAUUACGACAAUUUCACAAAAAAGGGCAUAUGUGAGCAAAGCAAAGAAAUUGAUGGCAUUGCCUAUGGCUUAUGGGAGCUCGCUUCUUAGCCCUUCAUCCAGAAAACAACUAAGACUCG
rnacentral:misc_RNA from 1 species